UACAGAGGGUGCAAGCGUUAAUCGGAAUUACUGGGCGUAAAGGGUGCGUAGGCGGCUCGGUAAGUCGGGUGUGAAAUCUCGGAGCUUAACUCCGAAACUGCAUUCGAUACUGCCGUGCUUGAGGACUGGAGAGGAGACUGGAAUUUACGGUGUAGCGGUGAAAUGCGUAGAUAUCGUAAGGAAGACCAGUGGCGAAGGCGGGUCUCUGGACAGUUCCUGACGCUGAGGCACGAAGGUCAGGGGAGCAAACGGG
rnacentral:rRNA from 1 species